rnacentral:rRNA from 1 species
AUUGAACGCUGGCGGCAGGCCUAACACAUGCAAGUCGAGCGGAGCGGCGGACGGGUGAGUAAUGCCUAGGAAUCUGCCUGGUAGUGGGGGAUAACGUCCGGAAACGGGCGCUAAUACCGCAUACUAUCAGAUGAGCCUAGGUCGGAUUAGCUAGUUGGUGGGGUAAAGGCCUACCAAGGCGACGAUCCGUAACUGGUCUGAGAGGAUGAUCAGCCACACGGGAACUGAGACACGGUCCAGACUCCUACGGGAGGCAGCAGUGGGGAAUAUUGAACAAGGGGCGAAAGCCUGAUCCAGCCAUGCCGCGUGUAUGAAGAAGGUCUUCGGAUUGUAAAGUACUUUAAGUUGGGAGGCGUUACCAACAGAAUAAGCACCGGCUAACUCCGUGCCAGCCGCCGCGGUAAUUA